rnacentral:rRNA from 1 species
UACGGAGGGGGGCUAGCGUUGUUCGGAAUACUGGGCGUAAAGCGUGCGCAGGCGGUGAUGUAAGACAGUUGUGAAAUCCCCGGGCUCAACCUGGGAACUGCAUCUGUGACUGCAUUGCUGGAGUGCGGCAGAGGGGGAUGGAAUUCCGCGUGUAGCAGUGAAAUGCGUAGAUAUGCGGAGGAACACCGAUGGCGAAGGCAAUCCCCCUGGGCCUGCACUGACGCUCAUGCACGAAAGCGUGGGGAGCAAACAGG